CUCAAAACCAUCAACAUAAGAUUAAAAGGUCAAGAAUCCUUCAAAGCACGAGAAAAAACUUUUAAAACACCAAAAGGACCUAGCUCUGUAGAAGACAUUAAAGCAAAAAUGCAAGCAAGAAUAGAUAAAGGUGGUUUUCUUCCCAAAGUGGAGGCCACGUUCAUCAAUUUUGUGAAGAAUUGCUUCCGGGUGACUGACUAGGAGGCUAUUCGAGAUCUCUGGCAGUGGAGGAAGCCUCUUUAAGAAUAGUUUAAACACGUUGUUAAAAUGUUUCAUCUUAUUUCAUUUGUGUAACAGUUGAUAUCUGGCUGUCCUUUUUACAAUGCAGAGUGAGAACUUUCCCUACCAUGUUUGAGAAAUGUCUGGACUCCAUUGCCAAGAAUGUGUUGUCUGAAACACCUGUUUAGUAUUUAAAGAUAGAACUCUGCCCUUUGCUUGGCUUUAAGUAUGUGUGAAAUGUCACUAUGGGACAUAGUAGUAGCGAUGGUCAGACACGGAAAUGGUGAGAAGACAAAAUAAACGUGGAAUAAACCCAGUAUUUGAAGAAAAAAGAAAAGAUGUAGCUAAUGUUUAUUUCAGUGAGAUUGGUGUUUAGGAAUGAACAGUUUGACACAGAAGGACUGGUGACAGGGAAGAGCACAAAACCUUUUCCGGUACCAGUGUCAGGGUAUUCAUAGCGACAAUUUCCUCUGCCCAGAUGCUCUCACCCCAGGCCUGGCAGGUGGCCCUGAGCUGCCUAGCAUGAGCUCCAUUUGCUGAGACAGGCCUUGCCUGAUCCCCAGUCUCCAUCAUCUUACUCUCUUGUAUUAUCGUCAUGUGACUGCAUGUGAAUUUACCUUGUUCAUCUAAUUUUUAGACUGUUCAUCUUUUUUUUUUUUUUUUUGAGAUAGAGUUUCACUCUUGUCACCCAGGCUGGAGUGCAAUGGCACGAUCUUGGCUCACGGCAACCUCUGCCUCCCGGAUUCAAGGAUUCUACUGCCUCAGCCCCCGAGUAGCUGAUCCGCCUGCCUUGGCCUCCCACAGUGCUGGGAUUACAGGCAUGAGUCAUCAUGCCUGGUCUAGACUGUCUAUCUUUAACUCCACCUAGAAUGUUGACCCCAUGAAAGCCAGGACCUCAUUUAUCUUGUUCCUUGCUGUAUAGCAGUGCCUGGAAGAAGGCUUGUCAUGAGUUGAGUAGACAUUUUCAUUUCACCAAUAGUUUAUAAGCUUUUUGCUCACCUAGAGCUAUUAAUCUCUGGGUUGCCUCACUGUCCCUUUUGUGCUGUCACAGUCCUUCCAACCCUGUGUAAGCAAUUCAUUCUAUUAAUUCUGUUUGAAAUACCCAGAGUGGUUUCUGUUUUCAUGACUCGACCUUGUCAAAGGGUGAUGAGACCAACACUCAAUAUCUGGGGUGAGUGGGAAGUAAAUUUAUUGCUUACUAUUGAAAGGGAGAGCUUUGUUAGGCACAUUCUCUCUGAGCAGAACUUUCUGCUAAUAUUAUAUAAGGCUCUGGGGAAGCAUGGGUUUCAGGGAUAGGAGGACAUUUAGAGACAUAAGUGUGUUAAUAUCUGUAGAAGCACUCUCUGAGACUUGUUGAUUGGCACUCAGAGGCAUGUUUAUUGAAAUUUGUCCAUCCUGCCUGGCCGACUUGCAGAAGUGAGGAUUGACACUGAUUGGUUGGCUUGCAAAAGCAGUCACUGAGACAAGUUGUUGAUCAAUAGAACAGGUUUAAAAUCAGUUUUGGUGACUUCUUGUUACCAUGGUUAUAUAACAAUCACUCUUUCUAGAUUACUGAACACUUACUUUGUUUUUAUGUUCAACCCUGACUGAUAGACCUACCUUAGUCUAGGUUUGGACUCUACAUCUUUUUCAAACUAUGUCUCUUAUUAACUUUGUGACAUUUCUUGAAUAAAUCACUUAACUUUACUAAACUCCUCAUUUAUCAGAUAGGGCUAGUGAUGCCUUCCUCUCGGAUUAUUCUGAGAUUAAAUGUUAUAAUGAUUGUGAACACUGUAAAUUAUAAAACAUUCUGAAAGCGUAAAACACAUUUGAAAUCCUCUUAAAAUUUGACAAUGUGCCAAAAUGGUGCAUAAACUCUAAAGCACUAUAUAAUUAUAAAUAUUUAUAUUAUCUUUUUAGUAUUUAGUAUUGUUUUAGUGCUUAUAUUAUUAUCAUGCCCUGGUCUUUAAGUCUCAGCUGAAGUGUUUUUUUUCCUCCAAGAAAGUAUCCUUAACUACUCAAGUCUUUAUUGAUCUUCUUUUUUUCUGGGUUUUGAUAUUUAUCAUAUUUACUGAAAAAAUUAGCCCUUAUACUUAUUCUAUCUUGAUUAUUCACUGUAAUUGUGGUUGUUGAUCUUAUCUCCCAACCCAGAUUUUAGCUUACUUUAGGCAAGAAUUUUGUCUAUAUUAACAUCAAUAAAUAUCAGAGCUGCAGAGCUCAUGAGACCAAGGUCAAUAAGUAAUAGCACACGUACUCCUGCUCCAUUGUGAACCUAUAGAGACAGAGCUAUGUUAUUGAAGAGUGUUGUCUCCCUAAGUCCACACAUUGCCUUAGGAUUAUUUCCAUCAUAGCACUCCAGGCAGCCACUACAAGUUCAGUGGUAUUAUACCUGAGAUAAAACCUACUGGCUAUGGUGGAUCUAUGCUAAUCUUCUCAUUUUCCGAAAGAGGAAAUUAAGACCCAAAGAGGAAGUGAUUUACUCGUGGAGCACAAAGUCAGAAUGAGAAGUCAUGUCUCCUAUUCCUUGUCAUCACUCUUUCUUCAACAUCAUGCCACAUGCUGCUUGUCAAUAUCCCCAAGGUGCCUGACACAGUGGCUGAGGUCGUACUGAGUGCUCAGUAAACACCUGUGGCUGUCUUUCUUAGGGCUGAGUUUACUCAGGUAUUUGGAAAGCAGAGCGUUUCCACAAUACUGUUGACAUUGUAAUUUAAUAUUGUUGGGUCUGCCUCAGUGGCAGCUUAAUUCGUGAUCGUGAAUUAUACAUUAAUCACAUUCAUAAUGAAAAUUCAAUGUAAAAAGCAUAAGUCUGAAAAUAUAUUUGCAUGAAAUUAGUUUAUUCUCCUCUCUGUAAUUUAAGACUGAGUUUGAUGCAUCUGAGUGAAAUUUUCCUCUCAGUUCUCUCUCCUGGCACUUAACUGGGCACCUAACAAACCAAUGAUUAAAGGCAGUAUGUUUUUAAAACCCCAAUACCAAUAGCAUUUUUGCUGUUUGGAGGUAGUUGUUGUAAACUAAAUCUCAAUGUCUCGAGAAAGGGUCUUUGCUCAGUAAAAGUCCAGACCACGAAAUUCCUUCAGAUAGAGUCCCUAAUAUGUAUUAAUCCAUAGCAAUAAUAGCUGUCACUUACCAUUGUAACCAAGCCAUCCUCACUCUCUUUGACUUCCUACGUUAACUCUGGGAAAAUAGUGGGUAUUGUGACUUCUACAGACAGGUUCAGGCCUGUGAAAUUUAGAAUUGUACCCGCUACUCCCACAGGUCCUUUCUUACCCCAUUUCAUUUCUUAAAAGAAAAUGUGACCAAUUAGGAAAGUCAAUUUAUGAAUAACUCUAAUAGUAACGUUCAUAGGGGCCGUAGUAAUGUUUAUAGGGUUUGAGGCUGAAAUUUCAUCUCCUAGAAUUUAUUCUAAGAAAAAAUUCAGGCUGGGCACGGUGGCUGACACCUGUAAUCCUAGCACUUUGGGAGGCUGAGGUGGGCGGAUCUUCUGAGCUCAGGAGUUCAAGACCAGCCUGGGCAACAUGGCGAAACCCUGUCUCUACUGAAAAUACAAAAAAUUAGCCAGGCAUGGUGGUGCAUGCCUGUAAUCCCAGCUACUCGGGAGGCUGAGGCAUGAGAAUCACUUGAAUUCGAGAGGCAGAGGUUGCAAUGAGCUGAGAUCAUGCCACUGCACUUCAACCUGGGCUACAGAGUGAGACUCUGUCUCAGAAAAAAAAGAAAAGAAAAGAAGAGAAGAGAAAAGAAAAAACUCAAAAAAAAUGAAAAAAAAUUGGGAAAGUGACAAAACAUUCAACAAUAAGAAAAUAAUUAAUCAUUAUAUGUCUACCUGAAGGGCUGUGAUACCAGACUAAUAGCAACAUAAACAGCUCUUACAUUACAAUCAUAAAUAAAAAAUAGAAAAAAUAGUAUAUAUAUGUAUAUUAUUAUUCGAACCAUAUAAAUAUAGAUAUGAGCAAAGACUGGAAGGUAGUGAACAAAGACAAAAUUAAUUUACAUCAGAGUGGCAGGAGAAUGGUGCUGUUUUAGUGGUGAUCAUUUUUAAAGUGUUCUUUAGUAAUGCAGAAAAUUAGUAGUAUACCAGUAGAGUUAGUAUUAUGGUAUAUGAAAGCAGAAAGAACAAUAGUUUGGCAGUCAGAAAAUGCUACUAACUGGUAACGUAAACCUGGAAAAUUAUUUUGCUCUCUGAUCUCAUGUUUUUCAUCUAUAAAAUGAGCAAGUUAGGCUGGGUGCGGUGGCUCACACCUGUAAUCCCAGCACUUUGGGAGGUCAAGGUAGGCAGAUUACGAGGUCAUGAGACUGAGACCAUCCUGGCCAACAUGGUGAAACUCCAUCUCUACUAAAAUACAAAAAAAAUAGCUAGGCAUGAUGGUGCGCGCCUGCAG
rnacentral:lncRNA from 1 species